rnacentral:miRNA from 1 species
ACAUUUUAUUUUUGGCAAUCA